GUCGAACGGAGAUUAUACGCAGAGGCGAUUUCGGUCAAAUCAUGUGUAAUCUUAGUGGCGGACGGGUGAGUAACGCGUGGGUAACCUGCCUUACACUGGGGGAUAACACUUAGAAAUAGGUGCUAAUACCGCAUAAGCGCACGAAGCCGCAUGGAUUUGUGUGAAAAACUCCGGUGGUGUAAGAUGGACCCGCGUCUGAUUAGCUUGUUGGCGGGGUAACGGCCCACCAAGGCGACGAUCAGUAGCCGGCCUGAGAGGGUGGACGGCCACAUUGGGACUGAGACACGGCCCAAACUCCUACGGGAGGCAGCAGUGGGGGAUAUUGGACAAUGGGGGGAACCCUGAUCCAGCGACGCCGCGUGAGUGAAGAAGUAUUUCGGUAUGUAAAGCUCUGUCAGCAGGGAAGAAAGAAAUGACGGUACCUGACCAAGAAGCCCCGGCUAACUACGUGCCAGCAGCCGCGGUAAUACGUAGGGGGCAAGCGUUAUCCGGAAUUACUGGGUGUAAAGGGAGCGUAGACGGUUAAGUAAGUCUGGAGUGAAAGGCCGGGGCCCAACCCCGGGACUGCUCUGGAAACUAUUUAACUUGAGUGCAGGAGAGGUAAGCGGAAUUCCUAGUGUAGCGGUGAAAUGCGUAGAUAUUA
rnacentral:rRNA from 1 species